CAGCUGACAUUGAUAAUGGAGAUAAGAUUGGUGACUUACUCAUGUUGUACACACCCAUCUGCAUACGAAUGCCAAUAAGCACAUCCUUUUCUACAUAAUCACGCUGUUAAAAGGCGCCAUGUGACCCAUUUCCCUGAAGGAUAAGUAACAUGAGAUUAUUUGAGGGAGUGGGAGUUUAGAGGAGGUGUUCUGGGACAGUGUUCUUCCUCUGCCAGUUCAGGUAACCGUGAAGGGACCUCAGCAAUUGGUUUGCUUGGUUCAGGGAUUGAUGGCACUGCUAGCUCAGAGGCUUGUCCACAUUUCAUCGGGGUUGCUAGGCAGGUUCUCAGAUAAGCCUUCUUUCCUCUACCUUUGGGGGUCAUCAGCUGUCACAAGGCCAGCCUGCCAGGCCUUGGCUGUCGUCUGCAAUUAACAAUUUUUUUCACCUGGGUUCCUAUGGGUAUCUCCUCCCCCUCUCCCUGCCCUAUGCCUGGAUCCAAACAUCAGGAAGUUCCAUCCAGAGGGCUUACUGCUUAAAGUCACAGUGUCUUCUUGGGACAAAAAAAAAAAAAAAAAAGCUGCUCUAGCACAGGUUUGGGCCCUGAUCUGGGAACUUCUGCCUGCUGCUGGCUCUGCCUCAAAAAAAAGAAAAAAAGAAAAAAAGAAAAGUACAGUCCUGCCUGCUUUCUUCUUUCUUUGCUCACGAUUGAAUCAUUCCUUCUGCCCCAAUCAGCCUUCUCAUGCUUUUGUGUCAGACAGCAGAUAGUUAAACAGCGAGGUAACAGUCUCUUUGAAAGACUUUUGUUCCUGAGGAAGUGAUUUUGUAAGUAAUUGCUUCGAGUCACUUUUAACGGCAUCAUGUAGUUUCAUUUCUUUUAAAUCUUUAUUUUUUAAGGGAAUUGCGCUUUCCCACUUCCGGUGUUUUAAAUCUAUUUUAAACCUAAGAUAGCAGUCUUUGAAUGCAGUUUUACAAAAUAAUUUACUUGGGUCACCUAUAUAAUACCCUCAUCACUGCAGUUAUUCCUACUGUCCUCGGAUCACGAUGGUAUAAAUGGAAUAUUCUAGGUGUGAGCAGUAAUUAGCUUUCUGGUCCCUUCAUCAUAACUUGCAUUGUGUUGUACAGACUUCUGUUGGCAAUGUCCAGGGAUUUUAUUCUAAACUGUCACAUUUAACCCAUGUAUUCAACCUGUAAGUAUUUAGGUUCUUCUCUGCCUUUUCAUUUUGCCACCACUCUGAAUCAGAAAAUUAGUUUCCUGUGGAAAACAUUUUAAAGCAAAAUAUAUGGAGCACCAAAUUAAAUAAUGUUAGAGUUAAUUCCAUUUUACUUAUUAUUUUUUGAACCACUUGUUUAGUGAGGUGAAUUAAGGAAAAAAUCAAUUGAUUGAUCUUUGGAUUUUUUUUUUAACAUCACAGAGAAGAGCCGUGGAUUACCGGAACUCAAAUAUCUAAAGUUCACCAAGAAAUCGAAAUUGCUUGGCCCUCUGGAAAGUUCUUUCUGUGCUCCUGGGCUUGCUAGGACUGCUCUAAAAUCUUUGUCAAGAAGGAAGUUUCGGGGGAGGGUGGAGGACUUCUGAUCCUGUGAUAUUCUUUCCUCUUUUGUUUCAGGGCCCAUGGCCAUCACCCUCUUGACUUUAUUCUGCCUGGUCUUCAUAUUCCCAUAGCUCUAAAUAUGGGACUGCAUGAUAAGUAAAACCUCUUAAGAAAGUGGAGCAUUUGCACUACAUUUCCCUGAAAAUCUAAGAUGCCAUAGGCUAGAGGCUCACAGCACAGGGGAUCAUCAGCCUCAGUGAUAACUGUAAUAAGGCUACGUCUCAUUUUCUGGGAAAGACAGAUUUUCCAGUUUCCUCCUGUAUAACUCAAAGGAAGUUUGAGUGUUAGCACCUCAAAAUACUUCUAAAUCCUCAGGAGGAAAAUGUGAAGCAAAAAAUAUCUAUUUCCUAAAGCAAAAUGCCUAUUUUAUUCUUUUUCCGAAUAAUGAAGUUAUUUCUUAUCCCAUGGUAGAAAUGUAUAGGUGAGAACUCCCGCUGAGAACUUCUUGAUCUGAAAACCUAAGGAACUUGUGCCAUUCUAGGCAAAAAGACAAGAAAACAUUGUCUUCUUAGUUGUGCUUACCUUUCACAUUUUUCUGAGAGCUGCUUCCUGGCAACCUUACCCAUAACAGAACUAAGAACCAAGAACAAACAGAGAAAGUCUUUGACUAUCCCAAUAAAUGUUACAAAACCCAUGCUCUGACGUUCCCCUAGUGGCUCAGAAGGUAAAGAACCCGACUGGUAUCCAUGAGGUGGCAGGUUCGAUCCCUGGCCUUGCUCAGUGGGUUAAGGAUCCAGCAUUCUCGUGAGCUGUGGUGCAGGUCGCAGACAAAGCUCAGAUCCUGUGUUGCUGUAACUGUGGUCUAGGCGGGCAUCUGGAGCUCUGAUUCGACACCUGGCCUGGGAACUUCCAUAUGCUGUGGGUGUGGACAUAAAAAGCAAAAAAAUCAAAAAUAAAAAGACAAAAAAAAACAUACUCUGAUACUCCUGAGUUUUUCCAAAGGAAAGUUCUUCAACCCUUUGUUUAAAUCCUACUUACUCUUAAUUUACACAUAAUUCUAAUUACCUUAAUGACAUUGUUUUCGAUCACAUGACAGACUGCAAGCAGAAAAUUAGGGAAAUAGACAUUGCAUAAAACAAGUAGAAAUACUUACAAUAACUUAACAUGCUUUCCCUAAUGAAAAGAACAGCGAUAGAGCAGUUCCCAUGUGGCACAGCAGGUUAGGGAUCUGGCAUUGUCACCGCUGUGACUCUGGCUGCUGCUGUAGUGAGGGUUCGAUCCCUGGCCCCAGGAACUUCCCCAUGCUGUGAGUUCAGCCAAAAAAAAAAAAGAGACAGAAAACGACUAUAAAAUUCUAUAGCACAGUUGUCUGGAGACAUUUAAAAUAAGAAUGAAAAUACUUUAGUAGAGUUUGUGGACAACACUUUAUUCCUUCAAAGAAUAGCACUGCAUUCAUACAAUCAUAAAUUCAAAUCAUCGAUAAAAAUAGUUAUUGUAAAUUAGGAACAGGAACCCCUUAAUCAAGAUACUUUCAUCUGUCCUUAAUUGUAUUAUUGAUUUUUAUUUAAAUUAGGCACUUGAUCAUCUACUGGAAAAUCUUUCAAAUAACCAUACAGAUCUUCAAUUUGAAUGGAAAUCCUUUAAAUGUGGCCUUGCUGUGCCUGUGUAACCUGCACGACUUUAUAUUUUGGCCCUGUGGUGAAUAUGGUCUUCUUAAAUAACUAGGUGGUGAUUCUGGAAAACACCAUAAAAAAUGGUUAAAAUAAAGAUGCUCAGGUAUUUAAGAGGUUAAAUAUCAGUAAUACCAAGACAUUCCCUAAAUAUUCAGAAUAGGAGCCAUGUUCUAGUGAGACACUCUCUGGGCAGGGGUAGAUUUUCAAGACUGGGGGCCUUGGUGUUAGUGCUCUAGAAUUUUCCCCUUCGAUAAAUUUUCUUCCAACUUGUAACUGCAAAAUUAUCUCUUCUAGCAAAAUGCCCUGAUAUUUUUCAGUUGCAAACAUAUCAAAGUCCUGGGAUGUUCCACGGACAGGGGAGGCCUUUGCCAAAAGUACAACCAUAGAUAGCAUGCUUUUUCCACGGUAAGCGUGUCCCUCCUCCUCCAGUCACCAAAACAUGCCGGCACCUCCAUGCCCUAUCACCCCUCUGCAAAAGGAACUAGCUUCUCUCUUGACACUAGCAGCUUUGAGCAACCUGGGAUGGGUAGUCACUUCUUCAUUCAUCGAGAAGUCUGAUUUGUACUUUAAUGUGUGAAACUGACAAUGCCCAGAAGAUACUACUGGUCUUGAAGUUGCUCUGCGCAGUAGCGACUGUUCCAGCGUACACCAGCCACAUGGAGGAGACAGAAUUAAAGACCUCCUGCAAGCCACACCGUGUGCUCAUGCCCCCUGGUGGCUGCUGCUUCUUCCUUUCAAAACACCCUGCUGAGCACCUGCUGGGCAUGAGGCCUUAGCAGGACUAGAGAUGUGAUGGGAAAUCAUACCCGAGUUUGCCCACAAGGAGCUCACAGUCCAGUUGUGAAGAGGAGUAUUAACAGAGCCAGACACUGGUGGGACAGGCUGGGGCUGUCCUUUCUCUGGAUUCUGGGUCCCAGCAACCUCAGGAGGAAGGAGAGGCUGUAGGUCUCCCUACCAUACAGCAAAUCCUUAGUGAGCAUCUACUUUGCACCAGAAGCUGGGGGGAGGGCGAGGGGUGUGUGUGAAAAAAAAAAACAAAUCAAAUAUACAUCUUUGCCUUGAGAAGUUUACAAAAGAAACCCUAGUAGCGUUCGGGGGGGGUGGGGGGGUCAAUACAUUGCUUUCCUUAGGUUUAGCCUGUAGAAAUGACACCUGUUCAUUUUACCAUAACUGAGGCCUCCCGAGGCCAGAGGCAGCCCCAUUCAUCCCACCAGACCUAGGCUGUCUCUUCUGUUGCGACUCUGGCUGAAAGAAAAGAUGGACAGAACGAGCCCCCUACUGCUCAGGACUGGAACUACAAAUGCCAGAACUGUGAUGACCCAUCACAGAUGAACCAUAGCAAGUCUGAAAGGCCUCUGAAUUCACAUCAAAGCUCCCCACAAUCAAAUCAGUCAUGGCCACGACUCACUCAAGUGAUAUCAGCAGACCUUUUCUUGUUCCAACUGUGGUGAUCUGAGAGUGGUGCCACAGGGCUGGGUUUGAAGGGUUAAUGUUUAAAUAAAAACCAGAGGCAACAAAUAAGGGGACAGCGUAAAGGAACAAAAGCAAUGCUGAAAGCAGUUUUCAUGCAGCUGGCAUAGUUGCAGAGAUGACAUAACAUGCAACUGUUUCUUUGAUAUUGUUUCUGACAAACUCAACAUUGUUAUCCUUAUUUAUUACUGAAAGCAGGAUAGCAGUAUUUAAAUUGUGGGAGCAGCUCUAACUCUCUAGGUUGCUGUGACCAACAGAAUGAAAGUUAGUUUGUUCUCACGUUUGUAACGGCAACUCUGCCAUCUCUUGGAAAAUGCUGGAAGUACCUAGAGCAUUUCACAAUAUUUCAAAGGCAAGGAUCUGCUGGUAAGAAGACAGAUGAAAAGGACAUUGCCUGUCUAUUUCUAUAUGAUGUUUUUAACCUUUAACAUUUGUACCAGCAAAC
rnacentral:lncRNA from 1 species